rnacentral:rRNA from 1 species
UGGGGAAUCUUCCGCAAUGGGCGAAAGCCUGACGGAGCAACGCCGCGUGAGUGAAGAAGGUUUUCGGAUUGUAAAGCUCUGUCUUUUGGGACGAAUGUGCUUUAUGUAAAUAAUGUAAAGCAAUGACGGUACCGAAGGAGGAAGCCACGGCUAACUACGUGCCAGCAGCCGCGGUAAUACGUAGGUGGCAAGCGUUGUCCGGAAUGAUUGGGCGUAAAGCGCGCGCAGGCGGGAUAUUAAGUCUGUUGUUUAAAUGCGGGGCUCAACCCCGUAGUGGCAAAAGAAACUGGUAUUCUUGAGUGCAGGAGAGGAAAGUGGAAUUCCUAGUGUAGCGGUGAAAUGCGUAGAUAUUAGGAGGAACACCAGUGGCGAAGGCGACUUUCUGGACUGUGUCUGACGCUGAGGCGCGAAAGCCAGGGGAGUGAACG